rnacentral:tRNA from 1 species
GCUCAGUUGGUUGAACGUCUGACUUUGGCUCAGAUCAUGAUCUCAUGGUUGGUGGGUUCGAGACCCACAUUGAUCU